ensembl:lncRNA
AUCCAGAACACCAGAACGGAUCCUUCCCCUCACUGUGAUGCAUCCAGAACAACCAGAACGGAUCCUUCCCCUCACUCUGAUACAUCCAGAACACCCAGAAUGGAUCCUUCCCCUCACUGUGAUGCAUCCAGAACACCCAGAACUUUAUGUCCAAUCUUCAAAAACAAAGAAGACAACAGCUGCCAUUGUUUGUUUUAGCAUGUUGUAGAACAAGCACUGUUCUGAAUGAUAUCAAUUAUAUUUUCUUGUGAUAGAUUCACGUUAAUACAGAAUAAUACAGGUAGAUUACUGGUAAAUAAAUACAGAAUAAUACAGGUAGCCUACUGGUAAAUGAAUACAGAAUAAUACAGGUAGCCUACUGGCAAAUGAAUACAGAAUAAUACAGGUAGCCUACUGGUAAAUGAAUACAGAAUAAUACAGGUAGCCUACUGGUAAAUGAAUACAGAAUAAUACAGGUAGCCUACUGGUAAAUGAAUACAGAAUAAUACAGGUAGCCUACUGGUAAAUUAAUACUGGUAGCCUACUGGUAAAUGAAUACAGAAUAAUACAGGUAGCCUACUGGUAAAUUAAUACAGAAUAAUACAGGUAGCCUACUGGUAAAUUAAAGUGUAUCUAUUUGAAAAAGCAGGAGAAGGCUCAAUGUUCAAGACUGUGUUGUGAAUGAUGCUUAUAUUUUUCUCGUUGUGUUUUGUUGGCCUGGGCAUAGCUGGCUAUUGGGCAAUUUGCAUGUAAGUGUAGUACUGUAUUGUACAUUAGGUGAGUUGCUGUUUUUAAUAUUAUAUGAUGAUGUUUAACAAUGAUAAUUAAAUCCAGAAUAGUGGCACUUGGAGUUGUGUACUAUUUUCCAGAUACAUUUAACAUUAGUGUGUACAAUAUUGCCUGUGUGUAUGGUCUGUUUGCUGGGUUAGAGAGGGAAGUAUACUACAGUAAUGGUGUGUAUGGUCUGUUUGCUGGGUUAGAGAGGGAAGUAUACUACAGUAAUGGUUUGUAUGGUCUGUUUGCUGGGUUAGAGAGGGAAGUAUACUACAGUAAUGGUUUGUAUGGUCUGUUUGCUGGGUUAGAGAGGGAAGUAUACUACAGUAAUGGUUUGUAUGGUCUGUUUGCUGGGUUAGAGAGGGAAGUAUACUACAGUAAUGGUUUGUAUGGUCUGUUUGCUGGGUUAGAGAGGGAAGUAUACUACAGUAAUGGUUUGUAUGGUCUGUUUGCUGGGAGAGAGAGGGAAGUAUACUACAGUAAUGGUUUGUAUGGUCUGUUUGCUGGGAGAGAGAGGGAAGUAUACUACAGUACUCAUAAAAUUUGAUUUGAUUUGAUUGUGGUAAACAAACUGGUUAUCUAAAACUAGAACUCCUUGAAAAUAUUCCAGCUGUAUUCAGAUCCAUCAAUGGACAGAUGAGAGAGUCGUUGUGUAAAUGUUGUGUAGGGGAGUGGCUCGUGGGGCUUUGGUCAAAAGUAGUGCACUAUAUAGGGAAUAGGGUUCCAUAGGACUCUGGUCUAAAGUAGUGCACUAUAUAGGGAAUAGGGUUCCAUAGGACUCUGGUCUAAAGUAGUGCACUAUAUAGGGAAUAGGGUUCCAUUUGGAACGUAGGUGUAAUGAAGUGAAAGCAGCGUGUGCUCCAGUUGAGAGUUUAGGUCACCAUAGAAACGCAUUCAUUCAUUCAGGAGUGGUUGGGUGGGUGGGAUAUCUCAAUCAGCGUCCACCUGACAGAACAAACAUGGUUUAGUCAUCAACAUCUGGUGUGUUGCCCUACAUCGCCUGGAUACAGAAAGGAAACAACAAACUGCUACGGUACAAAACAGAUACAUUCACUUUAUUUUCUGUUUCGUGACAGGAUCUCUGAGUCUGAUAUGACCUCGAUACAUCUUGGGGGAUUUCCUGUAAGCAGAUGAUAAAACCAUGCGCUGAUCUAAUUGGAUAAAAAUAAUCAAAUUAAAAAAACACUUGACAGGACGUUCAUUGGAUGUUGGAGAAAAACUCUAUAUUGUGUCAGAUGCUGUCUUUAUGUUACUGACAAAACGCUCAGAAUGCAUAUAGAAUCUCAAGGCCAUCAGAAUGUUAUACAGCCAUCACUAACUAAGAGAGGCAGCUGCCUACAUACAGACUAAUCGGCCACUUUAAAAAAUGGAUCACUAGUCACUUUAAUAAUGCCACUUUAAUAGUGUUUACAUAUCUUGCAUUACUCAUCUCAUAUGUAUAUAUUGUAUUUUAUACCGCCUAUUGCAUCUUGCCUGUGCUGCUCUGUCAUUGCUCAUCCAUAUACAGUAUUUAUAUGUAUAUAUUCUUAUUCCAUUCCUUUACUUAGAUUUGUGUGUAUUAGGUAGUUGUUGUGGAAUUGUUAGAUUCCCUGUUAGAUAUUACUGCACUGUCGGAACUAGAAGCACAAUCAUUUCAUUACACUCGCAAUAUCUGCUAACCAUGUGUAUGUGACCAAUACAUUUUGAUUUGAUUUGAAUGGUUUAGUUUAGUUGAUGAGGAGCAACAUUAGCCGCUGUACAUGCAGAAGCCCUUCCUGUGGUCCACAAAUAGAACUGAACAGAAAUACAAAAAAAAAGUUCACACUUUUUUAGCUGAGCUCUGAAACUAAAAUGUGUGAUAAAUAUCAACAUAGUUAGAAGAGGACCAGCUACCCCCCUAGAGGAGGACCAGCUACCCCCUAGAGGAGGACCAGCUACCCUCUAGAGGAGGACCAGCUACCCCCUAGAGGAGGACCAGCUACCCCCUAGAGGAGGACCAGCUACCUCCCUAGAGGAGGACCAGCUACCCCCUAGAGGAGGACCAGCUACCUCACCAGAGGAGGACCAGCUACCCCCUAGAGGAGAACCAGCUACCUCCCUUAGAGGAGAACCAGCUACCUCCCUAGAGGAGGACCAGCUACCCCCUAGAGGAGAACCAGCUACCUC